UACGAAGGGGGCUAGCGUUGCUCGGAAUCACUGGGCGUAAAGCGCACGUAGGCGGCUUGUUAAGUCAGGGGUGAAAUCCUGGAGCUCAACUCCAGAACUGCCUUUGAUACUGGCGAGCUUGAGUCCGGGAGAGGUGAGUGGAACUGCGAGUGUAGAGGUGAAAUUCGUAGAUAUUCGCAAGAACACCAGUGGCGAAGGCGGCUCACUGGCCCGGAACUGACGCUGAGGUGCGAAAGCGUGGGGAGCAACAGG
rnacentral:rRNA from 1 species